ACCCUGCAGCUGUACCUGCACUACAGCUUGGGAACUUCUUACGCACUUCUGUGCAUAAAUUUUUUCAUAUAGAUAGAAUAAUGAUCUGCAAUACAAACUGUAUAAAACUCCAGCAGUCAUAGACCUGUCUAGCAUCUGUCGGUGAAAGAUACGUGAGUUUGCAGUCAGCCACCAUCCUGAAAUAUCACAGAUAACUAGCAGUCAGCAGGAUGACUGAUGUUUUCAUUUCUGUCUUGCUCAUACUGAUGCUGCAGGCUGCAGACAAAGCACCCACUUUGAUAUGAAAGACUUGGAGUCAAUAGGACAGCAUUUCUGUGAUGCUCUCUUGAACUGCUGUGUUCAUAACAAGGAGGGACAUGAGAAAAUAGUGAAACAGCAAACCAGGGUGAACUCCAAGGUCCUGAAUUCUGAUGUGUUAGACUGGGAUUCCAGGUUAGCUGUAGGUCUGUAAACUAAAAUGUGGAUCUGGAAGACAGGCAUGUGGAGAACACAUUUACAUCUCUACAACUAGGGUUACUACAGAAGACCCCUGCUAAUGGUUGGAAUGAAUGCUGCAAAAUACUGUUUGCAAUCACCAAAUUCGGAAAUUAAACAAAACAAUGCUCAUCUUUCACAGCAGCGAAACUUCUGACAGCCCAGUCUCCUGUGAUCUUGCUGCAUACCAGCUAAAACGAGGCACCAAGAAAAAAAACAAAACAUCAGGAAAACAGUUUCACGGCAUUGCUAAGAACAGAAGUCAUGAAAGCAAAAAUACUCAAGGCACUGAAACUCAACAUAAGAUAUUUCAGGUACUUGACCCAGUGAAAAAAGGUAAACAUUAUAUGUUACUUUGAUUCUUAAAAUCCCAGUAAGCCAUUUUUUUCUGUAAUCUCAAACCUCAUUAAAGAGUAUGUCCCAAAAAGAUAAGUACAGAGUCCUUUGACUGGGAUUUCACUCAGUCUCACCAUUUGGAAGAGCUCAUUUUUCUUUAGUUUAAACUGUCUUCACAUUAUUACACUCAGCUUUACUGAUUGGGAAUGGUCUCACCGAAGAAAAACUGAACCUGAGGUGAAAAAAUAUUUGGCAGUAGGGCACGCACAUUUGUAAUAAUGUGCUUAUUUGGUUCAGAGAGAACAGAGGAGAAAACUUCCAUUGAAGUUAAACAAGGCAACCCAAAUCCAAUGGAAAAUAGUCAUCAACCAGAACUUUUUGGUUUCAGUACAGACAAAAUGAAAGAAGCAAAUGUGGAGGCUGAGGAAACAGAACUGGUGGACUUGUGUCAUUGCAAGCACAAGGAAAUCCGGGAAAGAUUUAGGUGUCAAAGUGAACAAGCAGCUCAACAUGAGUUCUCUUCAUAGUGCGCCAGAAGGACAAACACAGUUUUUGCCUAUGUGAAAAUAGGAGGGAAAAGCUAUCUUGAUUUGUAGAACUUCGUUUAGACUACUACUGAAUUACUUUGACUACUUCUGGUGUCAUCAUUACUUUAAAGAAUUUUUUUCAGAAGAAGAAUGCAAACGAGGACCCCUCAAAGUAUGUGAGAACUGGAGACAACCUCUUAUUGUGACACUUAAGAGUGUUCAGCCACUUCAUAAUGAAAUGGGACUUUAUGGGAUGAAAAUUGUCACCUAAAAUAUGACAAUGUUCUUCACUAGAGUAGCUGAAAGUAGCAGAGAUAGCUUCAGUUCAUCAAAAAAAAAGCAUGAGAAGCUGUGACUGCAGUUGAUAACAGUCAAAUUUGCAUUAGAAAUCAGAGGUGCAUGUUUUGGCAGGGAAUCAGAGCACCCAUUAGUGCAAACUCCAGGAGAUGUAGUGGGUUCUCUGUCCUGCUUCAGUCAAACACACAGUCUACACCAGGGCCCACAGAAAACUGAAUGAAAUUGCUAGCCUGUGUUUCAUAAUAGGCAAAACGAGUAUUGAAAUGAUCUGUGGUUCUUUCAGGCCUUAAAAGCCUGGUUUUCAUAAACUUACAAUUUUAAUGUUUCACAUUAAAACAGAAUAGGAUUCUUACAGGGAUGUAGAGUUUAUUCAAUCCAAGAGUUUAAGGUAGAGUUUUUGGUAGAGUUUUAAUAGAAAACAUUGCUGUGGACAGAGUACAGAAAAGGAAUAGAAUUUUUUAUGCUUAGUGUCAAACUUUGUGGCUUCACAGAUACCCACAAAGCCAUGAAACAGCCCACUAUCAAGCAUAGAAAAUCAACAAGUUAAUCUAUGAAGAAAGUACCAAAGUGAAAUGUCCUGAAUAGAAAGCUACCUGUCCUCAUCCCACAGUGCCAUAAGUCAGUAUUAAUUGAUUUUAGCCAUUAUUACAAUUUUUAUUUAUUCAAAUAAACAACUCCUAGCAGUGUUAAUUACAGCAUUGUGUCACUUUUCUUAGAUUCUUACAGCUCACAUUAUUGGCAACAUUUUGCAAAACCAAUAGUACGUUUCUCUUCAGCUCUGACAUCUCCUACACGGUUAAACAAGCUUCAUGAAAUAUUCCAAGAAUUGCAACAAGAAAAAAAAAAAAAGGAUUCUUCUCAUUGAUAUAAAAGCUUUAAAAUCAUUUCCAGAUGUCAUGUCAGCAAAUUAUACAGAACAGUACUUCAGUCGAUGUUUUCAUGAGCAGAGAUCUAGAAUUCCUCAGUGAGGACUGGAUGAGAAAUAUUAAAGCAAUCAUACAUACUAUCUGUGGUUUAAUAUAAAUCUGUGAGUUUUAUAGAUUCAUAGGGAGCUAUGAUAAAUCAGCUAAACAGUAGAAUGUGAGAACAUAUUACUUAUUCUCUGCCUACAUUAAGGAUACUGGAAUUUAUUCUCAGGAUGAUCCUUAUUCAUGUCAUUUUCACACUUCAGGUGCUGAAAAUCUAACGAUGUCGUGCUGUAGUAGUGUGUUUUAGUAAUGACCUUGUGCUUGGAUCUAAAUUCCUGUCUUGUUUUUCUCAGACAUGCACCCAGAGCUAUGCUACCUUAUGACUGCUUUGGUUUUGUCUUGGAGAACUUAGCCAGAAGAAAUUAAAACAAAGUAGUGUGGUAGCUAGAAAACUAACGUAUUAAUAUUUGGUUUGUGAAAGGGUUUGUAGGAAGAAUGUGCCUGUGAUAGGAGAGGACUGGAUUCAUUGAUUCACAGGAGCGUAUCCCAUGUUCUUAAUGUAUUUCUUAAAACUGUGUAAAUAUAACUGGAAGGUUUUCCUGUGUUUUGCCUUCCCUCCUUUAUUUUGGCCAGGAAGGUUGAAUAUUACUAAUGACAUUCAGUAUCAACUGCACAAAGAACCUAUUCGCUUAGAAUAAAAGGAGCUUCAGAACGUUGUAAAUAUUAUUCAUGGCCGAGGGACAUGCCUCCCCGUACACUGUCAGACCUGGUUCAUCUCACCCGUUAAUCAUGGAUUAAAGGCAGCUGCAGGCAGCUGGGGCCGCGGCCGGCCGGGAAGAUGCGUCUGCCGGCUCGGGUCAUGCUGAGAGGGAGGCCGGGGGCCGGGGCUGCGGCGGUGGUUUGGCCGCUUGAGGAGAUGUGGUCGUCACCUGCCGUCAGCGCUGGGGCUGUCCCACCUGCCGACGUGCCGGAGAUCUGUGUCUUGAGAAAGAAGAUACGUGAGCCGCGUGCACAAGGAAGGGAGAGAUUAAGUUAAAAGUGAGUCCUCCUCUGCCAGCCUGGAAGUCUGGGCACAAAUCAUUCCAGCUGUAAUUGGCUUCUGAGGGACAGGCAGUCCAGUUAAAUACAGUUUAAACACAGUUUUAGGUAAUUGUACAGUUGAGUACAUUUAAGUGUUACGACCGAUGAGGGCUUGGCUGCCAAAGAGGAGAUUAAUAAAGAAUGCAUUUUUUAAUA